AAUCUCCCCUCUGUCAGUUUAAAGCCACCCCUCUGAACUAUCACUAUGGGCCCUUGCCAGAAGUCCCUCUCCAGACUCCUUGUCAGCCUCUGACAACACCAAACCUGCAGCAGACUUAUUUGAAAGAGUGUCUCACCUAAGAGGUUUCGUGGUCCACCCCUUGAAGACCUGAUGAUGAUGUGAGAAGCAUUCUUAGAGACCUAAUCAAGAUGCACAUCCUUGACCACAGCUGUCAAUGGGAGCUGAGGCCCAAAGUCACCUCCCAGAAGCAGAAAGAUCAGUACUAAUCUUGGUCUGA
rnacentral:lncRNA from 1 species